rnacentral:lncRNA from 1 species
GCGCGAUCUUCUCCGGCCGGCUGUGUGCUAAGUAUAGAUCGAGAACGACGUCAUUGAUUAAUUACGUAUUUAUAUACACUAGACCAGAGAAAUAUAUAUAUAUACACACAAAAAAUAUUACAUAUAUAUACAUAAAAAUAUAUACAAAAAAUAAUAUUACAAAUAAAAACACCAUAUAUAUACAUAUAUAUAUGUAUAUAUGGUGUUUUGAUUUGUAGUAUUAUUUUUUGUAUAUAUUUUUAUGUAUAUAUAUGUAAUUUUUUUGUGUAUAUGUAUAUUAUAUAUAUGGUGUUUUGAUUUGUAGUAUUAUAUAUAGUAUGUAUAUAUUUUUUUUUAUAUAUAUGUAAUUUUUUGUAUAUAUUUCUAGUAUAUAUAGU